rnacentral:rRNA from 1 species
AAUCAACGCUGGCGGCGUGCCUCAGACAUGCAAGUCGAACGAUUAAACUUUCCUUCGGGAAAGAUAUAAAGUGGCGCACGGGUGAGUAACACGUAGGUAAUGUACCUUUGGGUGGGGAAUAACUUAGGGAAACUUAAGCUAAUACCGCAUAAUGCAGCGGCUCCUUCGGGAGACAGUUGUUAAAGAUUUAUCGCCUAAAGAGCAGCCUGCGGCAGAUUAGCUAGUUGGUAAGGUAACGGCUACCAAGGCGACGAUCUGUAUCCGACCUGAGAGGGUGGUCGGACACACUGACACUGAAUAACGGGUCAGACUCCUACGGGAGGCAGCAGUCGGGAAUUUGGGCAAUGGGCGAAAGCCUGACCCAGCAACGCCGCGUGAAGGAUGAAGUC